rnacentral:rRNA from 1 species
GAUGAACGCUGGCGGCGUGCCUAAUACAUGCAAGUCGAGCGAACAGAUGAGGAGCUUGCUCCUCUGACGUUAGCGGCGGACGGGUGAGUAACACGUGGAUAACCUACCUAUAAGACUGGGAUAACUUCGGGAAACCGGAGCUAAUACCGGAUAAUAUAUUGAACCGCAUGGUUCAAUAGUGAAAGACGGUUUUGCUGUCACUUAUAGAUGGAUCCGCGCCGCAUUAGCUAGUUGGUAAGGUAACGGCUUACCAAGGCAACGAUGCGUAGCCGACCUGAGAGGGUGAGGAGGCAGACGAGGAGAGAGAGACGGGCGGGACAAGUGCGGGAGGGAGCAGGGGGGGUUGUGGGAGAAUGGGCGCAAUGCUGAGAAAGACAGAGGGGAAGGAUGAAGAAGGGCUUCGGUUAGUAUAGCCCUGUUGACGGGAAAAAAAAGGAGCACGGCGAUACACCGCGGUCCUGACGGUACCCAAAGAAAAAGCGACGGCUAACUUAGUG